CGUCAGGAAUUUGGGAACAGCUCAGCUGGAGGCUCCGGCUCAGGGUCUCUCCUGAAGUUGCCGUCCAAGUGUCAGCUGGAGCUGUACCUGAAGGCUUGACUGGGACUGGAGGAUCCUCAUCCAAAGUGGCUCACUCUUAUGAUGUUCACGGGACUACAUGGUCUGGGCCCUCCGCCAGUGAUGUCUUCACUCCAAAGCAGCCUGACUCUUCAACUCAAGUGACCUUAUGUGGCCUAGGUUAAGAGCAUAAACUCGGGAUCCAGUCUGCUUAGAUUUUAAUCCCGGCUCUCUACUUCCCAGCUGGGUGACCCUGGCAAGAGAGGCUUCCUAGAAGAGGUGGAGGGAUUUCCAGGACUGGAACAAAGGGAGAGACCUUGACUCACAGGCAAGAAGACGAACUCAGAGGACAUCCUGCCUCACCCAGUCUUUUUCAAAAGAGUCCCAGCAAAGGAGAGGUGCCUGACUAGGGAAUCCUACAUACCUACCAACUUCCAAAGGGCCAAAACUGAUCCUAUACUCUUGGAAGGGAAGAGAAAGUACCAUCCCUAGCACAGGAUCUGGUGAGCAGGUGCUCAACAAAUGUUCGGGAGUGUGAACGAGACCCCAGAAGGAGCACCUUCAGUCUUCCCAGGAGAAGAAAGCUCCGAGCAGCUGGAGGCAGCAGUGAGCGAGGGAGGGACGCAGGCCCAGGAGCACCCAACAAGAUGUGUAGUCGAUGGACGAAUGUCAUGUUUGUCUCCAAACCAGCUUGAGGCACUGGGAGAAGACAGAGAAGGAGAGAAUGGACCCUGGCCUUCAGGGACUUCCCCAAGGUAAGGAGCUGCGCACACCUGAGAGGAGCGAACAAAUCUGGACUUGAGGUGAGUUCAUGGGCUCCUCUGUGACGUGGGGUGACUCAUCUAAGGUCUCGGCAGCAGGAUGAGGAUCCUGCCCGGGUUUCUUGCUCCUCAGCCAGUGCCGGCUGCUCCUCCCCUUUCCCGGACCCAGCAGUGGUGCUGAGGAGGGCUGGCAGGUCACCUCCAAAGGAGGAGACCUCAGACACGUGAGGCUGUUCCAGGGCUUUCCAGGGGUACUGGAGAUGCCUGGUGGAGAGAAAGGAGGAAAGAGGAGAGGAGGCAUCCCUGGAGGUGGAAAAACACAAGUUAAACCUGGAAAAAUGCAUUGAGGUGUGGAUGGUACUGGGGGUU